GCAUUUUGCAAACAUCUAGCAAAUGACAGUACUGUCCCUAAGGGAACACAGCCUACAGAAUGAGAAGAUACACCAGAAAGUGUAAAAGCCAAUAGUAGUUGCAAUAGCUGGGAUUAUUAAACAAACAAGCAAACAAACAAACAACAACAAAAAAACGGAUCGUGGUGGUGCUUAUAAAGUGGAUUUCUUUCUGGUCUGCGUAGAUGUUAAAGAAUCUUUGACAGUGCCAUCCACGUACUAUCAUCAUACUGAACUAUGUUUUUAAUAUUAGCCAUGAGAAGGAUGAGCUACUCAUCGUCUGGAGGGAGGUAAAUUUGGAAAGGAAAAACAUUCGUUUAGAAACAGCGUGAUUAACCAUGUCACUGCAGAGCAAUUCUCUAACUGCCUUCCAGCCAUAAUCAUCUCACAAUCCCAAACUGCCUUCCCUACCAUUACAGGUCUGAGAAGACCCUCUGAUCUUUGCCUAGUUGCCAGAAUUUCCAACUUUUACCAUACUACAAAAACUGCAGCCACAGCAUCCCACCAGUACACAAGCAGUACCUGUGCAGAAACUGUUCACCACCCACAGAGGGGAAAAAGAAGCUAGCAGCAACCUGCAUAUAUGUCAAGAGCAGAACAGAUUAAAGUGAGCACUGUGUACUGUCACUCCAGGCAGGUGAGUUUGGCACCGUGGUUUGCAUGUCUUAAGGUUUCUUUCCCAAUCUGCAUUGUAGUUUUUCUAAGAGCUGGUCUGUAAUGUG
rnacentral:lncRNA from 1 species